CAGUAGCCGCGGGAAAACGUAGGGGGCGAGCGUUGUCCGAAGUUACUGGGCGUAAAGCGCGCGUAGGCGGCUUCUUAAGUCUGAGGUGUAAGGUUCAACGCUUAACGUGAACAGUGCCUUGGAUACUGGGGAGCUUGAGUAUGGGAGAGGGCAGUGGAAUGGCUGGUGUAGCGGUGAAAUGCGUAGAUAUCAGUCGGAACACCCAUGGCGAAGGCAGCUGCCUGGCCUAAUACCGACGCUGAGGUGCGAAAGCGUGGGGAGCGAACGGGAUUAGAUACCCCCUAGUCCCUGUCUCUUAUAC
rnacentral:rRNA from 1 species